rnacentral:rRNA from 1 species
UGAGGAACAUGACUUUCGGUGGGGGAGUAGCCGGCCCAACGGCCGGGUAAUACCGCGUACGACCUUUUGGGGACAUCCCCGAUGGGUGAAAGCAGCAAUGCGCCGAUGGAGUGCCUCGCGGCCUAUCAGCCAGUUGGUGAGGUAACGGCUCACCAAGGCGACGACGGGUAGCUGGUCUGAGAGGAUGGCCAGCCACAUUGGGACUGAGACACGGCCCAGACUCCGUACGGGAGGNAGCG